rnacentral:rRNA from 1 species
AUUGAACGCUGGCGGCAUGCCUUACACAUGCAAGUCGAACGGCAGCACGGGUGCUUGCACCUGGUGGCGAGUGGCGAACGGGUGAGUAAUAUAUCGGAACGUACCUUAUUGUGGGGGAUAACGCAGCGAAAGCUGUGCUAAUACCGCAUAAUCCCUAAGGGGGAAAGCGGGGGACCGUAAGGCCUCGCGCAAUUAGAGCGGCCGAUACCUGAUUAGCUAGUUGGUGAGGUAAAGGCUCACCAAGGCAACGAUCAGUAGCCGGUCUGAGAGGACGAUCAGCCACACGAGGACUGAGACACGGCCCAGACUCCUACGGGAGGCAGCAGUGGGGAAUUUUGGACAAUGGGGGCAACCCUGAUCCAGCAAUGCCGCGUGAGUGAAGAAGGCCUUCGGGUUGUAAAGCUCUUUUGUCAGGGAAGAAACAGCAGCUCUAACACAGUUUGCGAAUGACGGUACCUGAAGAAUAAGCACCGGCUAACUACGUGCCAGCAGCCGCAGUAA